CGGUGGAGGAGGAAGCAGCAAUGGAGGAGGAGUAUGAGGUAGCCAACACUGUUUUAUAUAUAUAUAUAUAUAUAUAUAUUUAUUUAUAUUUUAUUUUAUUUGGGGUAGCCCCUAAAAAAAAAUUGGGACAUAUAAAAAAAGACAACUCUGUUCCGCAGAGUAGCUGUUGACAUUAUAGUUGCGCACUUUGUUGACUCUAGAGAACCUCGGGCCAAUCGCACAUACCUGUGGUGGCGACUUUGCAUGUGGAUGUCAUCCAUAUCAACUUUCAAUGCCAGUUUCUGCGCAUACCAUGGAGACCACGGGUAAUGGGAAAUCAUUCCGUACAGGGACCAUGAGGAACGGCUACCACAUGCAAUGAAGGCAGCAGGCGCGCAAAUGACCCACUCCCGACACACGAGAUAGUGACGACAAAUAACAAUACAGGACUCUUUAGAGUCCAUGUAAUUGUAAUGAGUCCACUUGAAAUCCUUUUACUCUGAUCAGUUGGAGGGAAGUCUGGUGCAGAGCCACUGAUCCGU
rnacentral:rRNA from 1 species